rnacentral:rRNA from 1 species
CCUACGUGUGGCAGCAGUGAGGAAUAUUGGUCAAUGGACGAGAGUCUGAACCAGCAAAGUAGCGUGAAGGAUGACUGCCCUAUGGGUUGUAAACUUCUUUUAUAUGGGAAUAAAAUGUUCCACGUGUGGGAUUUUGUAUGUACCAUAUGAAUAAGGAUAGGCUAACUCCGUGACAGCAGCCGCGGUAAUACGGAGGAUCCGAGCGUUAUCCGGAUUGUUUGGGUUUAAAGGGAGCGUAGGUGGAUUGUUAAGUCAGUUGUGAAAGUUUGCGGCUCAACCGUAAAAUUGCAGUUGAAACUGGCAGUCUUGAGUACAGUAGAGGUGGGCGGAAUUCGUGGUGUAGCGGUGAAAUGCUUAGAUAUCACGAAGAACUCCGAUUGCGAAGGCAGCUCACUGGACUGCAACUGACACUGAGGCUCGAAAGUGUGGGUAUCAAACAGGAUUAGAUACCCUUGUAGUC